UAUUCAUUCCUGAAAUAAUCACCACAACCUACUGGUUAUAGUUGCGCAAAACAUCAACAUUACCCAUCCUUGGCCUCUAGAGAACAAUGAUUCCCCCAGCCAGGCCACAAGACUCAAUAGUGUAAAAACCCCAUGAUGCCGGAAAAUGCCACCGCACCCUCUCAAGGCCUCUACCUGCCAAUCGAGUCUCCAACAAAAUGCAUAAAUCAGGUUGAUACUGGUACAUCCACCUCCUAAACGUAGAGGAAGAUGAGGGCUUUCCAAUCUCUUGAAC
rnacentral:lncRNA from 1 species